GCUCCAGUGGUGCAAUCGGUUAGCACGCAGUACAUAUAUGACAGUACAUGUGAAGCAAUGCUGAGGUUGUGAGUUCAAGCCUCAUCUGGCGCA